CCUACGGGAGGCUGCAGUGGGGAAUUUUGGACAAUGGGCGCAAGCCUGAUCCAGCUAUUCCGCGUGUGGGAUGACGGCCUUCUGGUUGUAAACCACUUUUGUCGAGGACGAAAAGUCUGUUGAUCAUACCGAUCGAUGAUGACGUUACUCUAAGAAUCAGCACCGGCUAACUACGUGCCAGCAGCCGCGGUAAUACGUAGGGUGCGAGCGUUAAUCGGAAUUACUGGUCGUAAAGGUUGUGCAGGCGGUUUUGCAAGAUGGAUGGGAAAGCCCCGGGCUUAACCUGGGAAAGCCAUACAUGACUGCAAGACUAGAGUGCGUCAGAGGGGGGUGGAAUUCCAAGUGUAGCAGUGAAAUGCGUAGAUAUUUGGAAGAACACCGAUGGCGAAGGCAGCCCCCUGGGACGCAACUGACGCUCAUACACGAAAGCGUGGGGAGCAAACAGGAUUAGAUACCCUUGUAGUC
rnacentral:rRNA from 1 species